rnacentral:misc_RNA from 1 species
GAUGAAGAACGUAGCGAAAUGCGAUAAGUAAUGUGAAUUGCAGAAUUCAGUGAAUCAUCGAAUCUUUGAACGCACAUUGCGCCCGCCAGUAUUCUGGCGGGCAUGCCUGUUCGAGCGUCAUUACAACCCUCAGGCCCCCGGGCCUGGCGUUGGGGAUCUGCGGAGCCCCCCGUGGGCACACGCCGUCCCCCAAAUACAGUGGCGGUCCCGCCGCAGCUUCCAUCGCGUAGUAGCUAACACCUCGCGACUGGAGAGCGGCGCGGCCACGCCGUAAAACACCCAACUCUUCUGAAGUUGACCUCGAAUCAGGUAGGAAUACCCGCUGAACUUAAGCAUAUCAAUAAGCGGAGGA